rnacentral:rRNA from 1 species
CAAUAGCGUAUAUUUAAGUUGUUGCAGUUAAAAAGCUCGUAGUCGGAUUUUGGCUGAGAACGAUCGGUCCGCCGUUAGGUGUGCACUGAUUGGUCUCAGCUUCCUGGUGAGGAGGUGUGCUUCACGGCCACUUAGUCACCGUGGUUACUUUGAAAAAAUUAGAGUGUUCAAAGCGGGCUUACGCUUGAAUAUAUUAGCAUGGAAUAACACCAUAGGACUCCUGUCCUAUUUCGUUGGUCUCGGGACGGGAGUAAUGAUUAAGAGGAACAGUUGGGGGCAUUCGUAUUUCAUUGUCAGGGGUGAAAUUCUUGGAUUUAUGAAAGACGAACUUCUGCGAAAGCAUUUGCCAAGGAUGUUUUCAUUGA